CCUACGGGUGGCUGCAGUGAGGAAUAUUGGUCAAUGGACGAGAGUCUGAACCAGCCAAGUAGCGUGAAGGAUGACUGCCCUAUGGGUUGUAAACUUCUUUUAUAUGGGAAUAAAAUGUUCCACGUGUGGGAUUUUGUAUGUACCAUAUGAAUAAGGAUCGGCUAACUCCGUGCCAGCAGCCGCGGUAAUACGGAGGAUCCGAGCGUUAUCCGGAUUUAUUGGGUUUAAAGGGAGCGUAGGGGGAUUUUUAAGUCAGUUGUGAAAGUUUGCGGCUCAACCGUAAAAUUGCAGUUGGAACUGGCAGUCUUGAGUACAGUAGAGGUGGGCGGAAUUCGUGGUGUAGCGGUGAAAUGCUUAGAUAUCACGAAGAACUCCGAUUGCGAAGGCAGUUCACUGGACUGCAACUGACACUGAGGCUCGAAAGUGUGGGUAUCAAACAGGAUUAGAUACCCGUGUAGUC
rnacentral:rRNA from 1 species